GGCUUAACCCACUGAGCCACCCAGGUGCCCCUAUGGAGAACUUAUUUCCAUGGAACCUCCUCAAUAACCUGUCUGAAGGCAUGGCUCUGAGGAAAAUUCUCCAAGGACAUGGAAAAGUCAGUGUUUGGCGGGAUAGAUAAAGGCCGAGGUACAUGGUGAUAAGGGCCUCUUCAACAGAGAAGCGAUUUAGGUGACAAUGCUCUGAAAUUCUGGGGAAGAUUCAGUGACUUUGGAGGAAGUUACUGAAGUCCCUGUGUCAUGAAGACGGAAAGAUGCCCUUAGACUAAGCCCAAAGAAUGUUGGAAGGUAAGAGAAAAUCUUUCCUCCUCAACAACCCCCACCCUGAAAAGCUGGGAGUCCUCG